rnacentral:rRNA from 1 species
AUUGAACGCUGGCGGCAGGCUUAACGCAUGCAAGUCGAGCGGAGAUGAGGUGCUUGCACCUUAUCUUAGCGGCGGACGGGUGAGUAAUGCUUAGGAAUCUGCCUAUUAGUGGGGGACAACAUUCCGAAAGGAAUGCUAAUACCGCAUACGUCCUACGGGAGAAAGCAGGGGAUCUUCGGACCUUGCGCUAAUAGAUGAGCCUAAGUCGGAUUAGCUAGUUGGUGGGGUAAAGGCCUACCAAGGCGACGAUCUGUAGAGGGUCUGAGAGGAGGAGCCGCCACACUGGGACUGAGACACGGCCCAGACUCCUACGGGAGGCAGCAGUGGGGAAUAUUGGACAAUGGGGGAAACCCUGAUCCAGCCAUGCCGCGUGUGUGAAGAAGGCCUUAUGGUUGUAAAGCACUUUAAGCGAGGAGGAGGCUACUGAGACUAAUACUCUUGGAUAGUGGACGUUACUCGCAGAAUAAGCACCGGCUAACUCUGUGCCAGCCGCCGCCGUAA